rnacentral:rRNA from 1 species
AUGCCGCCUCCUCGCCGCGGGGCCGCCGCCCUCCUCGUCCUCGCGGCCGUCAUCCUCCUCGCCGCGGGCGGAGCCGACGCAGCGCGGGGCCAUCGGAAGGCCGGCGGCGGCAUCAGCCAGCAGGCGUGGCGGUUCCUGGCGUCCCACAACGCGGCGCGCCGCGCGGUGGGCGUGCGCGCGCUGGCGUGGGACGGCGGGCUGGAGCGGUACGCGCGCGACUACGCGAGGGCGCGCGCGCGCGCCGGGUGCGCGCUCGUGCACUCGCACGGGCGGUACGGGGAGAACCUGUUCCGCGGCAGCGGCGCCGGCGGCGGGGGCGGGUGGACGCCCGAGGCCGUGGUGGAGGCGUGGGUGGUGAAGGAGCGGGCCAUGUACGACGCCCGGUACAACGCCUGCCGCGGCGCCCGGGGCGCGUGCGGGCACUACACGCAGAUCGUGUGGCGGAAGACCACCAGGGUCGGCUGCGCCACGGCGAUCUGCGCCGGCGGCCGCGGCACCUUCGCGGUCUGCGCGUACGACCCGCCCGGCAACUACGCCGGCGUCAGGCCGUACUAG